rnacentral:piRNA from 1 species
UGAGCAUCGUCUCGCUUGCAGCUGGUC